rnacentral:rRNA from 1 species
GACGAACGCUGGCGGCGUGCUUAACACAUGCAAGUCGAACGGAAAGGCCUCUUUCGGGGGGUACUCGAGUGGCGAACGGGUGAGUAACACGUGAGUAACCUGCCCUUGACUUUGGGAUAACUUCAGGAAACUGGGGCUAAUACCGGAAAGGAGCUCCUGCUGCAUGGUGGGGGUUGGAAAGUUUCGGCGGUUGGGGAUGGACUCGCGGCUUAUCAGCUUGUUGGUGGGGUAGUGGCUUACCAAGGCUUUGACGGGUAGCCGGCCUGGGAGGGUGACCGGCCACAUUGGGACUGAGAUACGGCCCAGACUCCUACGGGAGGCAGCAGUGGGGAAUAUUGCACAAUGGGUGGAAGCCUGAUGCAGCAACGCCGUGUGCGGGAUGACGGCCUUCGGGUUGUAAACCGCUUUCGCUCAUGACGAAGCUUUGUGUGACGGUAGUGGGUAAAGAAGCACCGGCUAACUACGUG